UGCGCAGGCGGUUUUGUAAGACAGUGGUGAAAUCCCCGGGCUCAACCUGGGAACUGCCAUUGUGACUGCAAGGCUAGAGUGCGGCAGAGGGGGAUGGAAUUCCGCGUGUAGCAGUGAAAUGCGUAGAUAUGCGGAGGAACACCGAUGGCGAAGGCAAUCCCCUGGACCUGUACUGACGCUCAUGCACGAAAGCUGGGAGCAAACA
rnacentral:rRNA from 1 species